AUCGCUUCUUGGCCUUUUGGCUAAGAUCAAGUGUAGAAAUUGUGAGUCCAUGAGAGAUGAACACAAUUAUUGAAUUGAAGGAUUAAAAUUCCUAAAACAUGGGGUGUCUGGGUGGCUCAGUCAGUUAAGCAUCAUCUCUUGGUUUCGGCUCAGGUCAUGAUCUCAUGGUUCUUGAGUUUGAGCCCCGCGUU